CUGGAGGCUGAGGAGCCCCAGGUUGAGGGGCUUCAUCUGGUGAGAGCCUUCUUGCUGGUGGAGACUCUGAAGAGUCCCGAAGUGGUGUGGGGAAACAUAUGGUUUGUUUUUUAUCAGUGUGUUGUACAGAGCGAAUGGCCUCGGACCUUCAAUGGCUGUGCACUGCUUUCUCAGGACUUUCCCUCAAAGGGAAGAACUGACCCUUAUCUCUUUCCCUUUUCUCCACCAUUAGAGCUCAGAGAUCCCAAGAGGCAAAGCGGGGAAAGUUUUAGAAAUCAUUUCACUCUGGAAAGCUUUCAGAUCACAGAUUCCUGCUCAUAAGUGGAUAAAUCUUUUCCCCAAUUUCAUUUGUCUCAGGAUGCAGUAAAAUUGAACAAACACAGCUCGUCCUACAUUCUGAAGAUGGGGCACAUUUAUCAGAAGAGAAAAACUGCCAGAGAGAAUUCACAUCAGUGCAGACCGAGAGUCUCAGAUGGCUAAGAGAUGUGCCUGACAACUUUUCAGAAAUAAGACUAUUAAAAGAAGGUCAGCUUGGAGUCUUACUGCGAAGAAUUAUAAACAGGCACGUGGAUUAUAAAUAGGGAGUUGGCAUGGUGGUUAAAUUUUUCUAAAACAGUCAUAUUAAUGUGUUCAAAAAUCCACUGCUGAGUCUCAGAGAGAGGGUCACAUCUGGCCAUGAAAAUCUUCUUCUCUGCGGGGUUGCAAUCCAUGCAGCUGUUGCUCACAGGAUGGAAUAAUGUUCUGUCCUGGAGGAGUGAGGAAGAAAAGAAAAGACUGUUGUAAUACGUGGUGAAUGGUUACAACCCAAAAUAUACAGAAGUAAGAUAUUUCUGUUUAUAUUUCAGUAUAUAUUUAUUGUGUAAAUAGAACAGCUCCCAAAUCAAACAAUAGCAGGUGGAGUUGCCCAUGUGGAAUGUGAAUUUGUAGGCUGUAUUGGCACUAUGUAGGGCCUACAAGCAGGUUCAAUUAGAGACAAUAAAUGUAUUUAUUCAUUCAAUCAUCCACUUCUUUUAAAAAAGCAAUCCAUUCAUUUUCUGCUCUGUGGUGAGCUUUUUGCUAUCUGCUUAAAUUUUGAAAAUAGUAAGUAUAUGGGGUUGCUUGGCAAGUAACCAAUAAUGUAGCUAUCUGGGAAGAAACACAUACACAAAAAAUUGUAUUUUAGUCCGCAGUAAAUAAUACCCCCUGCUCACACGCACACACAAUGACUAGAAGAGUCAUAAUUCCCU
rnacentral:lncRNA from 1 species